rnacentral:sRNA from 1 species
GAGACGAGUCUCGACGCAGCAGCUGUCAGCUCCAUUUUGUUGUUGGUACGCGACGCAGUCAGCUGUGUGAUUACCGUGAUUGCGUAACAACCUUUGUCUCCUUCGACUUGGAGUCUUUGUCCAGGACGAUGAGACACUCAAAGAGAACUUACUGUCCUGAUUGGGAUGACAAGGAUUGGGAUUAUGGAAAAUGGAGGAGCAGCAGCAGUCAUAAAAGAAGGAAGAGAUCACAUAGCAGUGCCCGGGAGAACAAGCGCUGCAAAUACAAUCAUUCUAAAAUGUGUGAUAGCCAUUAUUUGGAAAGCAGGUCUAUAAAUGAGAAAGAUUAUCAUAGUCGACGCUACAUUGAUGAGUACAGAAAUGACUACACUCAAGGAUGUGAACCUGGACAUCGCCAAAGAGACCAUGAAAGCCGGUAUCAGAACCAUAGUAGCAAGUCUUCUGGUAGAAGUGGAAGAAGUAGUUAUAAAAGCAAACACAGGAUUCACCACAGUACUUCACAUCGUCGUUCACAUGGGGUAUGAACGUUUUUAAAACAUUUUGGAAAUUUUAUAUCCCAUGUGGAACAGGGAAACUUGAAUUUUUGUGUUUGAUUAUUUGAGAAAGUUUUAAGAUGAAAUCAUCUCAGUUUUAACCUGCAGGAUUUUUUGUGUGUUUGUGCAUUGGAUAGGAAAUUCCGGAAAUAAAGUACACAUUUAGUUCUAUAAUUUAAUUAUUGGUUGGCUCCUAAUUGACAUUCCAGUGAAAUGAUGGGAGUUAAUUGAUUUAAUUUAGAUUAGUUGAAAAUUAUUACAAAAUAUUCUAAAAGGGUUUUUUGUGGUACUUCAAGAAACCUGAUUAGUUUUGAUCUAUUGAAAUCACAAAAGUAGAACAGGCAUUUUAUUUUUGUAUAAUUUAGGAUUAGGUAUGCUUCUUUGUUCUAACAAGUCAUGUUUUCUAACCCUUCUUUCACUAAGCAAACCAGAACAGAUUUGAACUGUUGCGGGUUAUAUAUUAGUAUGGAGAUCAGCUCAGAUGACAUUAAAAAUGCCGUAGUGUUAUUCUUGUAUGCCAAAUCUUUUUUUCCCCAAAAUUAGCACUUUAAUUUUAUUUACUGUUAUAAUAUUUGUUUUCUUAGAUUAGCUAGGAAAUCUUAAUUUGGCCACCGUCUACUUUGACAAGUAAAUAUCACAUCCUACGAUUUUGCAACAUUAAAUUAGAACACUAGAAACUAAAAAAUUAUGUUUCAGUGAAUGCUACAACUAAGCAUUUUUUUUUUUUUUAAGAAAAACAAUUGUAUUAUGUCUUGUUGCCUUGCCACUUUGAGUAUCUUAUCUGAAAAUCUGUUCCUUGCCAUGUUUUUCUCCUGUUAACAUAAACUAUGUGCCCUGUGAAUUUCUGGGGACUGAAUUUGAAAUUGCUCCUGCCAACCGUUUGUGGCCUGGCGUGUAUCUGAAUGCCUGAAUAUCUCCCCGCUGAAUGAAUUUCGUAUUCUGCCCUGAAUUCACUCGGGUAUAUUGAUUGGCUGGAUGAUCUUGGUGCCGCCCACUUGACGUUUCCAGAAGAGUCACCGAAGGAAAAGAACCAGGAGUGUAGAGGAUGAUGAGGAGGGUCACCUGAUCUGUCAGAGUGGAGACGUACUAAGUGCAAGAUGUAUAGAAUAUUUUUCAACACUUAUUAACUUUUCAGAUAACAUAAUCUAUAUAUAGAUUAAGCUUUCAGGGAUUUGGAAAUCUUUUUUUCUUUCUCUUUGUUUUUGUUUUUAUUUUUCCAUUUCUUUUGGUGGGGGGGAUUGUAUUUUUGCUUUCUUUAGAAAUGUAAUGUUUGUUAUACAGAACUUCCAGAACAGUAAUCAAAUUAAUGAAAUUAGACCUAAUAAUUAUGUUUUUUGAUGGUGUUGACCAAUAAAAUAAAUAUCUAGUGAUAAGGAAAUUUGUAGCAUCAACUAGAAUAAUCUACAUUGAUAGCAUUUAUUGUGAUAAGUACAUUGUUUCCACUUCUUGAUAUGACUGAGAUUUAUUUCUCUCUUUUAGAUGAAAUUGUUGAUACUUUAGGUGAAGGAGCUUUUGGAAAAGUGGUGGAGUGCAUCGAUCAUAAAGCGGGAGGUAGACAUGUAGCAGUAAAAAUAGUUAAAAAUGUGGAUAGAUACUGUGAAGCUGCUCGCUCAGAAAUACAAGUUCUGGAACACCUGAAUACAACAGACCCCAACAGUACUUUCCGCUGUGUCCAGAUGUUGGAAUGGUUUGAGCAUCAUGGUCACAUUUGCAUUGUUUUUGAACUACUGGGACUUAGUACUUACGACUUCAUUAAAGAAAAUGGUUUUCUACCAUUUCGACUGGAUCAUAUCAGAAAGAUGGCGUAUCAGAUAUGCAAGUCUGUGAAUUUUUUGCACAGUAAUAAGUUGACUCACACAGACUUAAAGCCUGAAAACAUCUUAUUUGUGCAGUCUGACUACACAGAGGCAUAUAAUCCCAAAAUAAAACGUGAUGAGCGCACCUUAGUAAAUCCAGAUAUUAAAGUUGUAGACUUUGGUAGUGCAACAUAUGAUGACGAACAUCACAGUACAUUGGUAUCUACAAGACAUUAUAGAGCACCUGAAGUUAUUUUAGCCCUAGGGUGGUCCCAACCAUGUGAUGUCUGGAGUAUAGGAUGCAUUCUUAUUGAAUACUAUCUUGGGUUUACCGUAUUUCCAACACACGAUAGUAAGGAGCAUUUAGCAAUGAUGGAAAGGAUUCUUGGACCUCUACCAAAACAUAUGAUUCAGAAAACCAGGAAACGUAAAUAUUUUCACCACGAUCGAUUAGACUGGGAUGAACACAGUUCUGCCGGCAGAUAUGUUUCAAGACGCUGUAAACCUCUGAAGGAAUUUAUGCUUUCUCAAGAUGUUGAACAUGAGCAUCUCUUUGACCUCAUUCAGAAAAUGUUGGAGUAUGAUCCAGCCAAAAGAAUUACUCUCAAAGAAGCCUUAAAGCAUCCUUUCUUUGACCUUCUGAAGAAAAGUAUAUAGAUCUAUAAUUGGACAGCUCUCUAGAAGAGAUCUUACAGACUGUAUCAGUCUGAUUUUUAAAUUUUAAGUUAUUUUGUACAGCUUUGUAAAUUCUUAACAUUUUUAUAUUGCCAUGUUUAUUUUGUUUGGGUAAUUUGGUUCGUUAAGUACAUAGCUAAGGUAAUGAACAUCUUUUUCAGUAAUUGUAAAGUGAUUUAUUCAGAAUAAAUUUUUUGUGCUUAUGAA